rnacentral:rRNA from 1 species
GUGGGGAAUAUUGGGCAAUGGGGGCAACCCUGACCCAGCGACGCCGCGUGAGGGAAGAAGGCCUUAGGGUCGUAAACCUCUGUUGUGUGGGAAGAAGGAAGUGACGGUACCACACGAGGAAGUCCCGGCUAACUACGUGCCAGCAGCCGCGGUAAUACGUAGGGGACGAGCGUUGUCCGGAAUUACUGGGCGUAAAGGGCGCGUAGGCGGUCAUUUAAGUCAGCUGUGAAAUGGUCCGGCUCAACCGGAUCAUGCGGUUGAAACUGGAUGACUGGAGUGCUGGAGAGGCAAGUGGAAUUCCCAGUGUAGCGGUGAAAUGCGUAGAUAUUGGGAAGAACACCGGUGGCGAAGGCGACUUGCUGGCCAGCAACUGACGCUGAGGCGCGAAAGCCAGGGGAGCAAACGGAAUUAGAAACCCCUGUAGUCC